GUAUAUUUUUUAUUUUUAAUUAAUUUUUUUUUGUUAGCUGUAUACCAGUUUUAGGUUUAUUCGUGUACAUAUUUUAUUAUUGUAUUUGUUUUAUGUUCUAUAUAAUUUUUUAAUAUUUUCUUUAUUUUUCAUCUUAAUUAUUUUUUGAAUUAAAUUUUAUACAUAUUUUUCUUAUAUAUUUAAUUUUAUUUUAAAUUUUUUAAUUAAAUAUUAAUGAUUAUAACUUUUUAUUUUAUUAUAUUAAUUUUGUAAAUCAAUUAAUUAUUUUUUGUUUUAAUUUUGUAAUUAAAUUUUUUUGUUUUCAUUUUUAAUAAAUUAAUAAUUUUCUCAUAAUUUUAUUUUUUUACUUAUUUUCCCUUUAUUUAUUUUACACUUCUCUCUCUUACCAAUCCAAUUUUGUCCAGCACACAAUGCAUGAAACACUUUAAAUUUUGAUUGUUGGGCAAUUCGCCCGUCGCUCUGAUUUC